AUGUUUUUGUCACAGUCACUCAGCCGCGUCAACAACAUCCGGACAGCGCUAAUCAAUGCGCAAAAGGGCAAUCAAUCGGUGGCCACCUUCUUCGCCGCCAUGAGGGGUCUCGCCGAUGAACUCGCCGCGGCGGGAAAAUCCAUCCAGGACGACGAGUUGAUCUCCUACAUCAUCCACGGGCUGGACCAAGACUAUCAGCCCCUCGUCUCUACAUUGAAGUCAAAGGUGGUAUGUGAAGACAUUCACAUUGAAGACUAUGACAAGAGAUGA
rnacentral:rRNA from 1 species